GGAACAGAUGGUGAGGCGGAUACCAGCAGAAAAAGCAAAAUGAAGUAAGGAAGGAAAUGAGUUGUUAAAACAGACAACCCGAUGUGGUAGUAACCUUAUUGGAAUUGUAGAAGUAAUUAGGUGAAAGGUGGAGAAAUGGCAAAGAAGAGAAAGGACAGGAGGCUAACACAAACCUAAAGUCAGAAAAUGAGGCAAUAAGAGAGAAAAAUGAGUUGGAGAAGGACUUUAGGCAGUUCCAAAUGUCUCUCCAGAUGUUCCCAGAUGCAAACUCUGCUCCUCCAAGAUGACUUCACAUUAACCUGUCUUUAUUGUUACAGAUGUGGUUCUAUUAGCUGUACCACUGAUUUACACCCAGUCAGGGAGCAAACUGGGGCUCUGCUCCUACAACCCUUUCAAAACCAAAUUCCACAACUAGGAGAAGGGAGCAAUAAUGAAAGCAGAAAAGCAAGGGUGUGGUGGGAACUAUUAGGAAACAGGGAAGACAGUGCAACGUUGUGCCAUCUUAUGGCCUUACUCCUGUAAUAUGGCCUUGGGAGAGAUGUUUCAGAUUUCUCUGAUCUAGACCAAGGGUCAGCAACUCACGAUUCCAGAGCUGGAUUAUGGUGCAGUUGAAAAAUAUAAAACCUGUUUUAUUUCAUUUUUGUCUCUCAAAAUACACGAUGCUUGCGGUUGUGCAAUUUACUAAACUUUUCAACUUCCUAGAAUGUCAUCUGCGACAUUUAAUGGGAAUUAUUUGUAGCCCUGGUGUGAAAAGCAUAAUAAUAACAGUGUAUAUUUAAUCAAUCUUUAAUCAAUGGUGCACAUCGCCAACAUUUUAAAUGUCCUAUUACACUUGCAUGCACCACUCGAUACACGUGAGGGGCGGAGGGGGUGGGCCUGUAGCCCUCAACAGCCAGGUACGCAGGAAGUGAGGUGCAUAUGCGAUGUUUCUCGGGUCCUUUACGAUAUCAGCAGCGGAAAGGAAGUUAGCUAUUUGCAAAAAGGACGAAGAAAAACGGCGAGUACACUGUGAAAGGAGCCGGAUUCACCAGUACACUUACCUGCCGAGAGUCCGCAGCUGAGUGACUGAAUGAAGGAAAUGAGUUACCUCGAGAUAAACAACAAUGGAAAUCCCUGUCUGAGCUCCUGGAUUUGAAGUUGUUCCCAGUACAAAGUCGGCCCUGCAACAGCUAUUUACAGCCACAGAGACAAAACCUGGAAUGAGUGCCUUGCUUGAGGACACGUCAACAAUAAUUGACAUAACGGUACCUGACUGUUCUGCCUGCCAUCCAGACGUGUCUUCUUUGUGUAUACUACGUGUGCCAUGUAGUAAAGAGAAGAUUCAGACUCCAACCAAAGGCUGGAGCAGCCAGGGAGGAAAAUGGGACCUAAAGUGGUACGGUGUGGAAAAACGUGGUUCAACACAUGGAAACCUCUAGUAUGUUCCUGUGAACGUCCUGGGAGAAUGUGUUGUGGAAAAGGUGAGUGGGCCGAGUCUCACUUCAACUAAUCUGUGCUUCAGUGAAGACCACAGACAGACAGUUUGAAUGUCCUGAACAUAAGUGGGCUUUAGGCUGGGUGGGCUGGAUGGACCGGAGCCCAUACUUUGUUGGAGGCAUCUCAUCCCAGGGAUUACAUGGAUCCCCCUAGUCCCUUUAGGAGUUUGAUUGAGGACCAAACCAAAUACAAGCUUUAAUGUUAGUUAUAUGUUAAAGAUUGUGGGCUUCCUGCUUUGAGAGCCCCGUUGAUAAUAAACCUGAUGAAA